AACGAACGCUGGCGGCAUGCCUAACACAUGCAAGUCGAACGAGCGCACAGGGGUUGGUUGCGCACGCGUGCGUAACGCGGCGGAAGCUGGCCUUAUGCUCGGAAUAACAGUGAGAAAUUACUGCUAAUAUCGGAUGACGUCUUCUAAUACAAGAUUUAUCGUACAAGGAUGAGCACGCGUAGGAUUAGCCAGUUGGGGGGGUAUUGGCCUACCAAGGCUAAGCUCGUUAGCGGGUCUGAGAGGAUGAGCAGCCACACUGAGACUGAGACACGGCCCAGACUCUUACGGGAGGCAGCAGUGGGUAAUAUUGGACAAUGGGCGGAAGCAUGAAGCAGCACUGCCGCGUGAGUGAUGAAGGCCUUAGGGAUGUAAAGCUCUUUUACCCGGGAUGAUAAUGACGGUACCGGGAGAAUAAGCACCGGCUAACUUCGUG
rnacentral:rRNA from 1 species